rnacentral:rRNA from 1 species
CCCUACGGGGGGCAGCAGUGGGGGAUAUUGCACAAUGGGGGAAACCCUGAUGCAGCGACGCCGCGUGAGCGAUGAAGUAUUUCGGUAUGUAAAGCUCUAUCAGCAGGGAAGAAAAUGACGGUACCUGACUAAGAAGCCCCGGCUAACUACGUGCCAGCAGCCGCGGUAAUACGUAGGGAGCAAGCGUUAUCCGGAUUUACUGGGUGUAAAGGGCGCGUAGGCGGGAUGGCAAGUCAGAUGUGAAAUCCGGGGGCUCAACCCCUGAACUGCAUUUGAAACUGUCGUUCUUGAGUACUGGAGAGGUU